rnacentral:lncRNA from 1 species
CAACGAGGAACGUGAUGAACACGAGGGGAAACACGAGGGAAACACGAGGGGAGCACGAGAGAAUUCACUCAACCGACAAGAAUAGAUCACACAUGCGCUAGAUCAAUGAACACAAAGGUAAGAUACAAGAUCCAAGGUCAACAAAGGACGAUACAAGAGGUAACCGAUUCUUCUCCGUGAGGAGGUCUUGAUGGGGCCGCCCAAGAGGGGGUCUUGAAUCCACUUGGAAGGAUCUUCUCCGAUGGAGGCGCGAUCUCCGAGGAGAAGGUAACCAAGUGGAUGAGCAAAGCUCUCACACAAACAUGAGCUAAUCCUUUGCUAACCCUAGAAAGGAGGUGGAGGUGGUCUAUUUAUAGUCUUAGCCACGAAGGGGUAAGUGGGAGAGGGAUACAAGGCCAAAGGCCCGCGGCUGCGCACAGGCAGAGCGGUAGUACCGCUUGGGAGGGCGGUAGUACCGCUUGCAAGCGGUAGUGCCGCUUGGACCGGGCGCUAGUACCGGACCCGGGUCGCUCGAGCACAGGAGUUUGUCGGGUUGAGCGGCAGUAGAGCGGAAGUUCGGCGGUAGUGCCGCUUGGGGGCCUCUAGCGGUAGUACCACUUGGUGUGGGCGGUAGUACCGCUCGUCCUGGGUCUUCUUCCUCCUUCUCUUCCAUGCUCCUCUUGCGGAUGGUGUAGUUGUUCCUUGGCGCUUGCACUCCUCCUCGUCGUCCGUAGUGUUCCGACAAUACCUAUGCAUGCACACGAGUGGAGUGUCAAGUAGUAUACCAUCCUCGAAGGGGUCAAGUGAGCACGUGUAAAGGAGAUGAUUCACCUUUGUGUAUGUGAAGUAGAUGUCGCACGUGUCACUCGCCGAACGGACUCUUGACAUGGUGAUGUCCAUAGGAUGCUCCGCAUCAUCUCCCCUCCCUUGGGAAAGAUCCGACCUCGGAUCGAAAACCAAAUCACCAUGGGAAAGAGAUGGCUUCGCCGUGUAGAAGUGGACGUUCACCAAGUACUUGUCAUCUUGAAGCUCGAAAUGUGCACUCUUCAAUGUCACACCGUGUAGUGAUUCCUUCAAAAGGAGCAAAAACAACAAACACUUGGAAAAACAAAUGUGGUUAGCGUUAGUGCAAAACCAAGCAUUCAAGUGGUGAUUCACCCAACAAGUGUCGUCAUCAUGCAAAGCAUAUGGUUUGACAAAGGAUUGUGACAUGGUAUAUAUGCACAUAAAUUGAGCACAAGCAAAUAUAGCAUGGGGACAAUCAUGUAAAUGUGAGGUAGAGAUGCAAAUAUGUUUGACAAGAGAAUAAGCAUCUACCUCAAGUUCAUAGCAAGCAUUCACAAAUUGCUCAAUGAAAGGUCUAUGGUAGGCAUAAGAAUCAUUCACAACACCAAAUAAGAUGAGAUGUCUAAACACAUGGGUCAAGUGCAAGGCAAUCCAAGCGUAACGUGCAUGGGGUGUGGUGAAUAUAGUGUGGCACUCAACACAAUAGAAAGAGCAAUUGUGCAUCAUGUGUGAGGCAAUCAAGUCAAUCAUGUAGCAAUCAAUGAGACAUGGCAUAUGUGAAGUGAUGACAUUGUUGCAACCAAACAUAUGAGAGGAGCAAGUAAUCCAAGGAUUGGAUGCAACACACAAGGCAUAUAUAUCAUGAUGCAUGGAACGGUGAAUAUGACAAGUCGAAGCAAGAUCUCUAACAUGUGUGCAAUCAAGUGGUCCAAGAUGAACAAUAAGUCUCAUUGUGCAAGCAACACAAGUAGGAUGAUCCGUAAUAUCCAUGCUCAAGUAAGAUGUCACCUUGAAGGCGUGUCCUUGUGCGUCCUUCACAAUGCCGAAGCACAAGCAAGUGCGAUGUAGAAUCGUCGUGGUAGAAGAUGGUUCACUCUCAAGAGCUCGAAUGGUCAACUCACGUGAAGGGAAAGUCGACACAAAGUCCAAGUAUCCUACACAUGCACACAAUAAAACAAAGAACGUAUGUGCAUGGUAGAUAAACACAUCAUCCAUCAUGAUGGUUCUCUUCUUUUGCACAUAACCAUUAGAAGCACAAGUGCAUGAAUAAUAUGAUGCAACAAUGGCUAUAUUCAUGGCACGAGGUAUAUGGUGCAAAGAGGUAAGACAAGCAUGCUUCACAAGGAAUAUGUCAAAAUCUCCAAUUAUAUGUGAGAAUGCUAUGGGGGCAAACUCAUUAUCAAGACUAAGGGCAUUGUUGCACUCAAUACAUGGCAAAUCAUCUAGCAUGAGAGAGGCAACACAUGGAGAUAAAUGACAAGAAGCAAUCACAAUCAUGUGCAAAGCAUGUAGAUAGUUGUCAUCAACCGCAUGAAAUGAGCAAGUAUGAAUCAUUGGUGAUGCAACAAGGCAAGCAAACAUAGUAAUCAAGUCGUGCAAACUACUGGAGCAAAGAUGCAACACACUAGAGGAAAUCAUGGCAAUCAUGUCAUGUGAGCAAGUAAUGGGCAUAAGCAAUGCACAUGACAUAUCGCAAGCACGAACACAAAUCAAGAUCAUAGUAUCAUCAUAGGCAUGGGUCAUAAAGCAAACAUGGAAAUAACAAGUGAUAUCUCCACCAAGCUUGCAAAUACACAUACAAGUACUAGAAUCAAUCGUCAUGUGUAAUGCAAAGCAUGGGUCACAAAUGCAUGGCAAAGGCAUAGGAAUGAGCAUAUCAUGCAAAGUGAACAUGGCAAGAUGGGCAAAGGAUAUAUAAUGGACAACAACCCAUAACCAUGUGAGGGCCAUGUAAAAGAAAUGCGCGAAGUGUUUGCGCGAAGUGAGCGGUGGGAAAGGCAAUCCAUGGGAUCCCAAAUCAUCGUUGCUCUCUAGAGCUUGUUUUGUCAACUCGUGGGAUUGCGAAGUUGACAAGUAUUCAUGGGUACCUACACAAAAGAGACACAAACGAAAGAAAUUGUGUGUGUGGUAAAUGUACACAUCAUCCAUCAUGAUGUGUAUGUGCACGCGUGAGUUAGCACAAGAUAAGCAUCGCUCAAAGAAAUUUGAUGCAUGGUACAAGAACAUGUCAUCCAUCAUGAAAGAAUAGUUGUUAUGUAUGACACGAUGGGGAUGCAAAUUGAGCAUACUAGUAUGUGGCACACCAAUAUCAUUAUGAUUCAUGGGGAGCAUAUUGUGCACACACGUAUAGGGAUCAUGCAAUGGAUAGGAUGAAUCAAAAUCUCCUAACAUGUAUGAGGAAACUAUGGGGGUCUCCUCAUGAGCAAUAGCGGGGAUAUCAUAUGGAGAAAAUGGACAACAUCCAAAACAAUGCAUAUCCGAAGCUAGGUGGUCAUGGCAUGGCAUAUGAGAUAAUUGAUGCAAAGGGAGCAUAUCAAUAUCAUCACAAGAAAAACAAAUGCCAAUAAUCAUGGGCUUGACAUCUAUGCCAUAAGUGCAAAUUGGGUUAAUUUUAAUGGCAUAUGCAUAGUCACUAUGAAGAGAUUGCAAAUAUGACAUAUUGUUGAUCUCAUGCAUAGCAUAUGACAAGUCAAGCGGAUUAUCAAACAUGAUGUGACCUAAAGAAUUGUCACAAGAAAUCCUAUGGAGCAUAGCAUCACAACUAGGCAACUCAACAUGCUCAUCAUCAUAGUCAUCAUAAAUUGGUAAGUCAUGAUAUGAAGAAGUCGCACUAGCAUGAAGCAUGGAAAUAGGUGGAUCAACAUCAUGCAAGCAAUUGAUGUCAAGAUAGUCCACUAGUGGGACAAGAGAAGCACCAUCACCUAUGUUACCGUUGGAGCAUCGCUCAUGUGUUGUAGGUGAGGUGUUGAAGAACAAGUCGUUUGUCAUCUUCAUCUUGAUGGAACCAUGUGGGGGGUGCAUCAUAUUCCACCAUGGCCAUCGUCUUGUCCAAAGGAAGGACGUAGUCAUCACGUCAUCAUAUAAGGGACCUAGCACCAAAUGAGAAGACACAAUAGAGGUAAAGGUUAAGUCGUUAGAAAUCGAAGUGGCCUCACUCUCUCUAUGUGGUGGUUCACUCACUCCCUCAAGAUAGGUGCACUCAAUCUCACGUAUGGUGGAGUCACUCAUCUCACUCAAGUGGUGGGGGUUGUGGCUCUCCUCACAUGGGAAUUGGGGCAACUCAUCAUAUAUGUGGCUAGUGGUGAAGUCACUCUCACUCUCAAUAUGGUGGCACAAGUCACUCAAGUCAUCAUACGUCGCCGUUGUCGAAGGGAAAAUCCCAUGCUCAACCAUCUCGUCAUUGUCACCAUGGAUGAAGGCCGAAGAUGGCGCAUUAGCACUCUCGCCUCCUAAGAUGGAAGCAUCAUCCUUGCUCAUCACCAUGUCGCUCGCCUCCAAAGCUUGGUCCUUGAAGGUCUCUGUAGUCAUACUCGUCGCCGCACAGUCUUGAAAAAGAGUCGUGGAGGACUCGGCACCAUCAAUGCCACAAAGAGGGAUGGUGGUGGAGUCGAACUUGAGAGCAUCGUCUUCGAGCUCAUCGGGCUUGGACAUCUUGGUGGUACUAGCCUCAUGCUCGUCGUCUUUGAGCUUGGUCGUCGAGAAGUGUGCUUGGGGUGAAGAAGCCUUGGCCUUCAUGAGUUCUUGUUCCGCCUUGAGAGCACCAAUGUAGUUAUCGUCGAGGGACUUGUAGUUCUCGAGGAAGAUGGUCUUGGAGAUGUCGUUUUUCAAUCCCAUCAUGAAGUGGAACUUCAUUGACAUGGGGUCGUCCACGCCGGCUCGUCGCAAGGCUUGCUUCAUCUCCUUGAAGUACGCGUCGAUGGACUUGGAUCCUUGGAUGGUGCUCUCCAAUUGGCGUAGAAGUUGUUCCGUGUAGGUUGGAGGCACAAACUCUCACCGCAAAGCUUUCUUCGUCUUGGGCCAACUCAUGUCGUAGCUCUCCGAAGGUGUGUGAACCCACCAUGUCGAGGCAUAGUCGUGGAAGUUUCUUGUGGCGCACUUCACUUGAUCUUCGGGCGGAACUUGAUGUAGCUUGAGGUAGUCGUCCAUUAGGUGCUCCCACUCAAGAUACUCCUUGGGUUCUUGAGUCCCAUAGAAAGGAAUCUCAUGGUCGGUGUCGAGGUCGUAGUAGCUCGUGGAAGUCGUGGACUUGAGCUUGGGGAGCUUCUCUUGAGCGUAGUCUCGAGGUGCUUGUUGGCGAAGAUGUCGUAUGUCCAUAGGCGAAGAUGCCUUGAAGUCGCUUGGCGAAGAUGCCAAGGGGAAUGGUGAAGUCGUUGAGCGGUUGUUGGUGUUGAGCUCUUGACCUUCACGUUCUUGUUGGUGAUGGUGUCGAUGCCGAUGUGAUCUUGCCGGAGAUGGUAGCUCGGAAGCAUGUGCUCUUGAGCGUCUUCUUGAAGAUGAGGAAGAUCGCUUGUAGGACUUGAUGAGGGCUUUGAUCUCCUCCAUUUGAGCGUUCAUCUUGGCGUCGUUGAAGUUGUUCGUGGCAUCGAACUCGUCGUUGUUGUUGUAGACCAAAGGUGAAAUGCCUUGCCUAUCCAUCACAAGACUCGAGCAAAUAUGAGUGGGAGAAAGAGAAGAAUUUAUACCAAAUAUACCUUGACCGAUGUUGAAGAUGGAUCAAUGAUCACUCAAUGUGUAACAAGGAAAUAGCACAAUUGGUACCAAUUCUUGUCGGUUUCUCACACCUACACAAGUAAGGCUUAUGGUGGAGCUUGGUGAGGAUAGUGGCACAAAAAUUUGAUGAAAAAUGUUAGCAAGAGUCAAUAAUGUUGAAAAAGAUUCACAAAUUCGCAAGUGAAACAAGUAGACCAAUAGCAAAGAAUGGCACACGGAAACACACACACGGAUAGAUAAAUGGGGUCGUGCAACCAAGGAAUGAGCUCAAAAUGUGGAAUCCAUCAAAACGCUCGUGUUGCACAACUCAAGAGAGACGCUAGCACGAUUGCUCUAUAGGCGGAUACAACACUUGUGCACAACCUAUAAGAUGCAAAAUGGAUAAACUUCUAUCGCAAGUAUGCUAUAUGUGUAUGGUUCCCGGUGUUUCUCUCAAGAUGAUCCAAGAUGAUCGGAUAUGACAAUCUUAUGUGCAAUGUGGUAUGAUGCUAUGACACUUGCUUACAAGCUUCUUUGCUCUUUCUCUUUGCUUAAAAGCUUUAUUCUCUCUCUUUUUAUAUGGCCACAAUGCGAAAUGCACAAACCAAGAUAGCAAUUGUGUAUAUGCGGGAACAAUCUUGUGACACAAGGGAUGAUAUGAUGAUACCAAUAUGAUAUGGUAUAUAUGCAAAGGAAGGUACGGAUCACUAAUGUGCACAAGUAACGUUGCCUGCAAUACUCAAAUGGCUAGUCUCGAUAGGCAAGUGACGCAAAAUGGGCUAGGGGUUAUCAAUGCAAUUGCAAGGGAAUAUACAAUGAUGUCGUCGAGGUUACCGUCCGUUGUGAUGAUGAGUGGCGGUGUUCUUGAUGUAGAUACCAAGAUGAUGGAGACUCGUCCAUAAGUAGCCGAAACACCUUAGGAAACGGAAAACCACAACUCAAAAUCUCAAGGAUAAAAGUCAAAUGGUCGUAGCGGAAAUGCGGUGGUGAUUGUGGAAGUAUUGGUGAAAACCCGGUCAAAAUGGGUUAAUGUGGAAGGGUAUGAUGGGCUAUACACGGUGUCGGAGUUGGAAGCACGGUCCCUAAGUAGCCUAAACACCUUAGGAGACACAACUCACUACACAAACAAAAUUGGGUUAAGUUGCGGUGGCUGAGGUGUAUGGUGGUCAAGCCUAUGCGGAAGGUAAGGUGGUGGUUGAUGAAGAAGCAACCGUCCCUAAGUAGCCGAAACACCUUAGGAGACUCGAAUCACAACUCAAACAACCUCAAAUGUGAUGGGGAACAAAAUUGGUUAGGUUGCGAAAGUCGGUGGUGGUUAUGCGGAGGAUGUGGUGGAAGCCCUAGGCAAAGAUGCCAAAGUUCCAAAAAUUUGAUGGGGUCAAAUGGUGAUGGAACCUAUCUAGGUGAAUAGACGAUGUCAAUAGCUACUCAACGAGCUAAAGAACGCGAAAAUCGGACUCCGGAUGUGGAAGUUAUGGGCAAAACGGUGAAACUCGGAAUGCUGAAACUGGCAUGGGCGGUAGUACCGCUCGGAUGGGCGGUAGUACCGCUCGUGUCGGGAUUUUUCGACUGUUUCGGCUGAAACAGGGCCUGGCGGUAGUACCAUUCGCAGGGAGGUAGUACCGCUUGUGGUGCUCAGCGGUAGUACCACUUGGAGGGGCGGUAGUACCGCUCGAGUCGGGAUUCUUCGCAGAUCGAAUCGGGGUGCGAUUUUGGGGCGGAAAUGGAUGAUUUCGGUGGCAAAAUUUGAUGAAUUUCAUGGAUGGAAGGUGAGGAAACUUGGGGAGAUGCUAGAUCCACUCGAAACCAAGCAAAUCCAUGGAUCAAAAUCAACAAAACAUUAUCAAACCAACAAAUCACAAAAAAAAUUGGGGGCUAUUUUUGGUGGGGAAUUUUCAAAAUUAGGACGAAAUCAACAAAACAUGGCUAGAAAACACAACGGGGAGGCUCUGAAAUCAUGAUAAACGUGGCUCAUGAUACCAUGAUGAUGUAGGGUGGAACCCUAUUGGCCCGAUCUUUCACGAAAGGAGCGGAUCCCAAUGAGAAACGUGAUGAACACGAGGGGAAACACGAGGGAAACACGAGGGGAGCACGAGAGAAAUCACUCAACCAGCAAGAAUAGAUCACACAUGCGCUAGAUCGAUGAACACAAAGGUAAGAUACAAGAUCCAAGGUCAACAAAGGACGAUACAAGAGGUAACCGAUUCUUCUCCGUGAGGAGGUCUUGAUGGGGCCGCCGAAGAGGGGGUCUUGAAUCCGCUUGGAAGGAUCUUCUUCGAUGGAGGCGUGAUCUCCGAGGAGAAGGUAACCAAGUGGAUGAGCAAAGCUCUCAGACAAACAUGAGCUAAUCCUUUGCUAACCCUAGAAAGGAGGUGGAGGUGGUCUAUUUAUAGUCUUAGCCACGAAGGGGUAAGUGGGAGAGGGAUACAAGGCCAUAGGCCCGCGGCUGCGCACAGGCAGAGCGGUAGUACCACUUGGGAGGGCGGUAGUACCGCUUGCAAGCGGUAGUGCCGCUUGGACCGGGCGGUAGUACCGGACCCGGGUCGCUCGAGCACAGGAGUUUGUCGGGUUGAGCGGCAGUAGAGCGGAAGUUCGGCGGUAGUGCCGCUUGGGGGCCUCUAGCGAUAGUACCACUUGGUGUGGGCGGUAGUACCGCCCGUCCUGGGUCUUCUUCCUCCUUCUCUUCCAUGCUCCUCUUGCGGAUGGUGUAGUUGUUCCUUGGCGCUUGCACUCCUCGUCGUCCGUAGUGUUUCAACAAUACCUAUGCAUGCACACGAGUGGAGUGUCAAGUAGUAUACCAUCCUCGAAGGGGUCGAGUGAGCACGUGUAAAGGAGAUGAUUCACCUUUGUGUAUGUGAAGUAGAUGUCGCACGUGUCACUCGUCGAACGGACUCUUGACAUGAUGAUGUCCAUAGGAUGCUCCGCAUUACAUAAGUUAAACAAGUUGCCAUAAGAUGGCUAGCACAAACUGGGAUACAGAUCGAAAGAGGCGCAGGCCUUCUGCCUGGGAUCCUCCUAAACUACUCUUGAUCGUCGUCAGCGGCCUGCACGUAGUAGUAGGCACCUCUAGUGUAGUAGGAGUCGUCGUCGACGGUGGCGUCUGGCUCCUGGGCUCCGGCAUCUGGUUGC